rnacentral:rRNA from 1 species
GGGUUGUGAGGUUAAGCGACUAAGCGUACACGGUGGAUGCCCUGGCAGUCAGAGGCGAUGAAGGACGUGUUAAUCUGCGAUAAGCGUCGG